CGUAGGGCGCAAGCGUUGUCCGGAAUUAUUGGGCGUAAAGAGCUCGUAGGCGGCUUGUCACGUCGGAUGUGAAAGCCCGGGGCUUAACCCCGGGUCUGCAUUCGAUACGGGCUAGCUAGAGUGUGGUAGGGGAGAUCGGAAUUCCUGGUGUAGCGGUGAAAUGCGCAGAUAUCAGGAGGAACACCGGUGGCGAAGGCGGAUCUCUGGGCCAUUACUGACGCUGAGGAGCGAAAGCGUGGGGAGCGAGCAGGGUUAGAUACCCUGGUAGUCCACGCCGUAAACGUUGGGAACUAGGUGUUGGCGACAUUCCACGUCGUCGGUGCCGCAGCUAACGCAUUAAGUUCCCCGCCUGGGGAGUACGGCCGCAAGGCUA
rnacentral:rRNA from 1 species